rnacentral:rRNA from 1 species
CCUACGGGAGGCUGCAGUGGGGAAUAUUGGACAAUGGGCGAAAGCCUGAUCCAGCCAUGCCGCGUGUGUGAAGAAGGCCUUCGGGUUGUAAAGCACUUUCAGUGGGGAAGAAAGCCUUGGGGCUAAUACCCUCGAGGAAGGACAUCACCCACAGAAGAAGCACCGGCUAACUCCGUGCCAGCAGCCGCGGUAAUACGGAGGGUGCGAGCGUUAAUCGGAAUUACUGGGCGUAAAGCGCGCGUAGGCGGUCUGAUAAGCCGGUUGUGAAAGCCCCGGGCUCAACCUGGGAACGGCAUCCGGAACUGUCAGGCUAGAGUGCAGGAGAGGAAGGUAGAAUUCCCGGUGUAGCGGUGAAAUGCGUAGAGAUCGGGAGGAAUACCAGUGGCGAAGGCGGCCUUCUGGACUGAUACUGACGCUGAGGUGCGAAAGCGUGGGUAGCAAACAGGAUUAGAUACCCGAGUAGUC